rnacentral:tRNA from 1 species
GGUAUGUGGCUUAGUGGUAGAGUGCUUGCCUAGUAUGCAUGAAGCCCUGGGUUCAAUUCCUCAGUACCA